GCGCCGCUAGCUCAAUCGGGAGAGCAACUGACUCUUAAUCAGUGGGUUCGGGGUUCGAUCCCCCGGCGGCGUA
rnacentral:tRNA from 1 species